rnacentral:SRP_RNA from 1 species
CGGCUCGGCGAGCUGGCUGUCGCGACCCGCUCGCUGCAGGACGAGCUCGGGCAGACCAUCACCAUGGCAAAGGUGGACCGCGAUAGGCUGGACGACGCAGGCCGUCACAUCUGCACGUUGCAGGAUGACGUGCG